CCGUAGCUCAGUUGGUAGAGCACCUGACUCUUAAUCAGGGUGUCCAGGGUUCGAACCCCUGCG
rnacentral:tRNA from 1 species